UACGUAGGGACCGAGCGUUGUCCGGAUUCAUUGGGCGUAAAGAGCUCGUAGGCGGCUGUUCAAGUCGAACGUGAAAACUCGGAGCUCAACUCCGAGCCUGCGUUCGAUACUGGACGGCUAGAGUCUGGUAGGGGGAUCUGGAAUUCCUGGUGUAGCGGUGAAAUGCGCAGAUAUCGGGAGGAACACCAAUGGCGAAGGCAGCUCGCUGGGACGUUACUGACGCUGAGACGCGAAAGCGUGGGGAGCAAACAGG
rnacentral:rRNA from 1 species